rnacentral:lncRNA from 1 species
GCUUAGUGUGGCCAUACGAAAAAUAAUCUCUACAAUACAAUAAGCCUAUGCUGAAACCUGAAGUCAGCAGGGAAGUCAGGAAGAGGAGAUGAUGCAAAGCAGAGGAAGCAAGGAUAAAUGGAAUCCAUGAGGACUAUCUGGAGCUCUCAAGGACUGACUGGGACCCAUGUUGAUCUUCCACUGCCUCCAAACCUCCAAUUUCAAUGACAUCAAUGCCCUGAAAAAAAAAAGUGGGCGUUCUUUUUUAUGGAGCUGGUGAAGAAGGAGGAAGAUAUGAGGGAGAACUGGAGCAAUUGUGGGCCCAACUGCUGCCUCACACCAAGCAGAGAACCCUGAAGGAAGAGGUGCCAGGAGAGAUGAAAGGAAAUAUCAUGGGAAUGGAGUGCUGUUCAGCCUGCGGAAUGUCUGGAAUAUCUGAGAAGCAGCAGGACAACAGUCGAUGCCUCUAGUGGGAAUAAAAGUCAAUUGAAUAUCUACCAGACAAGAUAGAAUUUGCAUAUCCAUCAGUUACAAAGAGGGAAGAAGUAGCUCAAAGACAAUGAAAAGGACCAAAAUCUGAUAAUCCAUAAAGGUAGAUCUAUAGUGAGAAGCUGAACCAUAACUGAAACACUGCUAAGGAAGCAUGGGAUGAUGAGAGAAGACACAUUCAUCUUAGGAUGUAUUCGUUAACCAUAAGAUAAAGGAAAAAGCAGUGCAUGGAAGCUGAAUAUAAGGUAUGGGCAAACCAAGAUCAUUCAUCUCAUACGGUAAUUAUCUCUAAAGCAAGGGCUCCUCCAGGGUAUUCCCUUUGCAGCAGAAGGGUCAUUUUAUCUUAAGGUCAUGCCUACCUAAAUUUCCCUAUUCCCUAAUGUUAGCAUCGAUAACCC